UUACGUGUUGAAAGUCUCAAGAGAAACAGGUUAGGUGUUGACUCUAUGAUGGUGAUAGCUACAGUGCCAGUGCCCUGCCCGGCGUCACAUGCCCAGCCCUGGCUGGCCGCCUUUGCUGCGUCAGGCGUCUAUACACAAACAAGCUCCCCUUACUACCACCCAACACCCAACCACCUCUGGGUCUCUCCAUCUCCACCAUCUCAAUAAUCUAUAUACUGUAUACUCAUUACUGUUUGCGGUAUCAGUGAUAGUUAAUAUUUCAGAUGUAAGCAAACAUAUUAAUCAUACCAAUGUGUUUCAGAUGCAGUGGCUCAUUAUGCAAGAUGGUGGACAACACCAUCCUGAUGAUUAUAAUGGGGAGAAGAACUCUGUGGGGCUGGAUAUUGGACAAGAGUGCAGUAUCAACGUCAUGUGAAUCACCAGACAACAGAGAGCAGCAGUGACCCUUGUACUGCUGUAACAAUCACCACUCAGCGUCAUGAAGAGACCCAACAAGAACCUUCUGCACGCUGCAGUAGGGUCUUCAGUGGUACUGGUCUUGUAUUUAAAUAUUUGUGUGGCCGACUGUGGACCCACAACAAGGUGCUUCCUGGAGGUGGUAAAGAUACAUUGUGAUGGAGGCAUCAUCACGAUUUCACAUUAUCUAUCAAGCAUUUCCUAACGCAACGUUUAUAAUGGACUCCUUAAGGCAAAACUGACUUCCAUUCAACACUUGGUGUGCAGUGUCUAGAUUGUCAACAUUCCGUCAACACUUGGUGUGCAGUGUCCAGAUUGUCAACAUUCCGUAAGUAAAAUCCCUACUGUACU